rnacentral:rRNA from 1 species
GACGAACGCUGGCGGCGUGCUUAACACAUGCAAGUCGAACGGAAAGGCCCUGCUUUUGUGGGGUGCUCGAGUGGCGAACGGGUGAGUAACACGUGAGUAACCUGCCCUUGACUUUGGGAUAACUUCAGGAAACUGGGGCUAAUACCGGAUAGGAGCUCCUGCUGGAUGGUGGGGGUUGGAAAGUUUCGGCGGUUGGGGAUGGACUCGCGACUUAUCAGCUUGUUGGUGGGGUAGUGGCUUACCAAGGCUUUGACGGGUAGCCGGCCUGAGAGGGUGACCGGCCACAUUGGGACUGAGAUACGGCCCAGACUCCUACGGGAGGCAGCAGUGGGGAAUAUUGCACAAUGGGCGGAAGCCUGAUGCAGCAACGCCGCGUGCGGGAUGACGGCCUUCGGGUUGUAAACCGCUUUCGCCUGUGACGAAGCGUGAGUGACGGUAAUGGGUAAAGAAGCACCGGCUAACUACGUG